UGCGUGAAGAUUAAAGAAAAGGCGGUACAGUAACCGAAACCAACCAACCUUUCUUUCUUCUCCUCUCCUGUUUCUUCUCUUUUCACUUUCUCUCUCUUUUUUUCUUUCUCUUUCUCUUUCUCUCUCUUUGUCUUCUCCCUUUCUAUAAAUCAAAACCCAAACCCAUCACCACCUUUUGAUCACAAUCUCCCCCAUUAAAACACACCACUUCCACCAUAUGUCUCCACGGACCACCGCCUUUCUAGCUCCUCUUCUUCUUGUUGUUGUUGGUGCAGGUGGACAGUUCCAAAGGGAUCGCAUUGAUCCCAUGGUUAUCUUCCACCUCUCUUACCAGACUAUCAUAACAAAGUCUGGCCUUUUUCCCAUUGGAUCAUGCUAUCCCUUAGGAACUCUCCAUCAGUGCCUCUUUCUCAGCAUCUCCCACCUCCCUUUCAGGCUGCAAUCUCAGAAAUAGGGGUGUGUUUGGCUUUGUAUUGAAAGUCCACCUGCAAUAGUAGGGAAAUAUUCGUCUUUUUAAGACAUGGUCUUCAGUGACAUGUCGAGCCUAUUAUUCUUCGAUUACUAGUUUCCUAUUACACAUGGGUUGAAGACAAUGUGGGGUCAAUAUUUAAAACUACUUAGCCGUAAGUUGAUGAUCAUUCAAAUUUCAAAGGCAUUAACAAUGUUGUGAUCAAGUGAUUUUUCUUUUACCAGAGAAAGUGAUGGAAUCAUGGUAUUGGGUUUUUCUUUUCUCCUUCUGCCAUUUCCCCUAUGUUGAUAUAUAUAAGAUGAUGGCUAUUAGUUUACCAGGAGACUUCUCUUCAGAGUUGUUUGAACAACUUCUUCACCUCCUUGACCAUCCAAAAUUGUUGUACUGAAAAAAUUGGAUGAGUACAAUGUGUGUGGAGAUGGCAUGAAUUUUAGUGGAUGUAACUAGGCCCAUUCAGCCGAACUUUCAAUCUUAUCUGAUUGGCAUUUGGGCUCAGCUCAUUGAAACAUUGGUAAAUCUUAAGCCCAAACCUAGCUCAUUUUCGGCCCAAUUUCUUCAUAUGGUUGGUGGUGGUUAUGAACAUUUGAGCCAAAUGUUCCAUCACAUGGCUGGGGAAAGACCAAUUGUUUGGCCCAUUGCGUUGGGUGGAUUUUUGACACAUUUAGGUAGAUUAAAAAAGAAAUAUUUGCAAAAAAAUAAAAAUGAUAAUUUGAAAAAUAGUGCAAGAAUUAUAACACUUUGUGCCACAUAAACUCUUCAUAAGCACCAUAUGAUAUCAUAAGAUAAUUGAUUAAAAGGGAUGAAAUCAUCUCCGCUUUAAAAAACUAACCCUUCACUUUUUUUCAACCUAAAAAUAUACCUAUUUUGAACAAAAAUACCCUCAUUUUUUCUUACAAAAAUAACCCUAUUCUUUUAAAACACAUAUGUAAAUAAUGAAAAUAUUAAAGGGUAUUUAUGUCAAAAAUGGAUUACUCUUAAGUUAAAAAAUGGGAGAUGUUAAUUUUAUAAAUUUAGAAUCUUUUCAUCUCUUUUAAUCAAUUAAUCUUAUGAUAAUUGUGUCUUCAAAAUAAGAGUUGUACUUUCAAUUAAUCUUAUGAUAGUUCGGUAUAUUCAUAAAAUUGUACUUUCACUACACAAAGUCUAGGGUUUUUUUUUUUCCUUUAAUUUUUAAUCAUUUUUAUUUCUAAUUUUUUUUCUCUAUUUUCAAAAAAAAAAAAAAAAAUCUUAUUCUAGUAAUUUCAUAUAUAUAUGAAUGGUAAAGAGUAGUAUAAAAAUUACAAUUGGUUUAUUUGUAGAUCUUCAUUUAGGGGAACAUUAUUUGGGAUUAAGUUUUCCUUACAUAUAACAUUAUAUAUUGUUUUUCUUCAAAAGAAUUUGCAUUUUAUUCUUAUUGGAUUGUAUUUGAUAGUGAUAAAUGAAUGUGUUAUCAACCGAGUAAUCGGUUGAUUAGCUAUUGAUCGAUUGUGUAACUAGUAAAACAAUGGUUGCUCCAUUUGUUCAUCGAUAGCAUUAAUGACAUGUUUACUUGAUUUCUAAGAAAUACAAAUGAAAAGGGAUCAUUUUAUUCAAAGUUGAAUUGUGCUUAAUAAUUGUAAAUAAGUGUGAUACCAAUUGUGCGAUAGGUUGACUAGUUGAAUUAUCAAUUGUGCAACUAGUUAAAUAGAUGAAAAAAAGUCAUUAUAAGUUGUGCAACUAAUUAAAUAAAUGAAAAGGAGUCAUUCUACUUCCGAAGGAUUUACACUUUAUCUCUAUUGAAUUAUGUUUAAUUGUGGUAAAUGAAUGUGCUCUAACUCAUGUCUUUCAAUACAAUGGACUUAAUUAGUCA